rnacentral:tRNA from 1 species
GGGGCUGUAGCUCAACUGGGAGAGCGCUAGAAUGGCAUUCUAGAGGUCGUGGGUUCGAGUCCCAUCAGCUCCAUCA